CAUCGACUUCAAAGCCGCAUAUGAUACAAUCGAUCGGGACCAGCUAUGGCAGCUAAUGCACGAACACGGUUUUCCGGCUAAACUGACACGGUUGAUCAAAGCGACGAUGGAUCGGGUGAUGUGCGUAGUUCGAGUUUCAGGGGCAUUCUCGAGUCCCUUCGAAACCCGCAGAGGGUUACGGCAAGGUGAUGGUCUUUCGUGUCUGCUAUUCAACAUCGCUUUGGAAGGGGUAAUACGAAGAGCAGGGAUUAACACGAGUGGUACAAUUUUCAAUAAGUCCGUCCAGCUAUUUGGCUUCGCCGACGACAUAGAUAUUAUGGCAUGUAACUUUGAGAAGAUGGAGGAAGCCUACAUCAGACUGAAGAGGGAAGCUAAGCGGAUCGGACUAGUCAUCAACACGUCGAAGACAAAGUACAUGAUAGGAAGAGGUUCAAGAGACGACAAUGUGAGCCAUCCACCGCGAGUUUGCAUCGGUGGUGACGAAAUCGAGGUGGUAGAAGAAUUUGUGUACUUGGGCUCACUGGUGAUUGCCGAAAAUGACACCAGCAGAGAAAUUUGGAGACGCAUAGUGGCUGGAAAUCGUAAGUACUUUGGACUCCGCUCCGAUCGAAUAGAGUUCGCCGCCGUACCAAACUGACAAUCUACAAAACGCUCAUUAGACCGGUAGUCCUCUACGGACACGAGACCUGGACGAUGCUCGUGGAGGACCAACGCGCACUUGGAGUUUUCGAAAGGAAAGUGCUGCGUACCAUCUAUGGUGGGGUGCAGAUGGCGGACGGUACGUGGAGGAGGCGAAUGAACCACGAGUUGCAUCAGCUGUUGGGAGAACCAUCCAUCGUUCACACCGCGAAAAUCGGACGACUGCGGUGGGCCGGGCACGUAGCCAGAAUGUCGGACAGUAAUCCGAUGAAAAUGGUUCUCGACAACGAUCCGACGGGCACAAAAAGGCGAGGUGCGCAGCGGGCAAGGUGGAUCGAUCAGGUGGAAGAUGCCUUGCGGACCCUCCGUAGACUGCGUGGUUGGCGACGUGUUGCCAUGGACCGAGCCGAAUGGAGAAGACUCUUGUAUACCGCACAGGCCACUUCGGCCUUAGUCUGAAUAAAUAAUAAAUAAUAAUAAUAAGCAAAUUAAAGUCUAAUAAAGCGGCUGGGCCAGACAACCUUCCAACACACGUAAUUAAACAUAAUGCAACUAGGUUUUCCAAUAUCUUGAAUAAAUGUUUCAAUUUAAUAAUUUUAACAGGGCAAUAUCCUGAUUGUCUAAAAAUAGCUAAAGUUGUACCGGUAUUUAAAUCUGGGGAUCCAUGCUCGUUGGACAAUUACCGACCAAUAUCGACCCUUUCAAUCUUCAACAAAGUAUUUGAGAAAUUACUAGUUGAUAGAUUACUAAACUUUUUCGGAAGGCAUAAUUUACUUUAUAAAUUCCAGUAUGGUUUUCGACAGACUUGUAGUACAGCAACGGCAUUGACAGAGCUAGUCGACUACAUAGUAAGCAAGGUUGAUAACAAAAAGAUUGUUGGUGCCUUGUUCAUUGACCUAAAAAAAGCUUUCGAUACACUAAAUCAUGGCAUUUUAUUGGACAAACUUAACUAUUGUGGUAUUAGAGGUGUCGCAAAUAACCUAGUUGAAAGCUAUUUGAGUGGACGAUCACAAUAUGUUACUAUCAACGAAACCAGAAGCUUGAUAAAACCGAUAACAACCGGAGUCCCUCAAGGUAGUAAUAACGGUCCUUUGCUGUUCCUGGUGUAUAUAAAUGACCUAGGUAAUUUACCACUGAAUGGAACAGCUACAUUAUUUGCUGAUGAGACUGCAAUAUUCUACCCUGACACCAGCUUAUCGUCAAUAAUAAAUCAAAUGAACCAGGAUUUGGAAAAGUUAAAGGUAUAUUUUGCAAGUAAUCUACUGUCUUUGAACAUUCAGAAAACUAAAUAUAUGAUCUAUAAAUCUCCCAGAAAAAUAUUACUUCAUUAUGUUGAUCCUAAAUUUUGGAAUACUGUAAUAACUAGACUCAUUCAAAUACCUUGGCGUACAUUUGGACUCUACAUUUUCUUGGGAAAUUCAAAUCAAAAACAUCGAGAAAAAAGUAGCAGCAUUAUUUGGAGUUCUUUACAAAGUGUCUGAUUUUGUCCCAGCACAUUUAUUGCUAAAGUUUUACUAUGCACAUAUCCAUUCACAACUUCAAUAUGUAAUAAUAACUUGGGUCGUGCAUGUAAGUCCAAAUUAAUGAGGCUUCAGACCUUGCAGAACAGAUGCCUUAAAAUUAUUUUGAAAUUACCUCUGCUAUAUCCAACUAUUGAAUUAUAUAGUAAUAAUACGCACAACAUACUACCGCUUUUGGGUUUAUGCGAACUACAAACACUAAUUAUGGUACACGAUAUUAUCAACAACGGAGCAUAUUCGAAUAUUAUUUUACCUACUGGGAAUCAAUCCCGUUUCACGAGACAGGCUGGAAAUCUGGCACUCACUAGGGCAUCUUCCAAUCAUGGUCAGAGACGCAUUUCAUAUGUUGGACCCUCCAAAUUUAAUUGUCUACCUAAUGAACUGAAAAUGAUAACCGAUAAAUGCCAAUUUAAACUUAGUGUUAAAAAUACACUUGAAAAGAAAAAUUAAUGAAUUUAUACUCUGAGCCAUUUAUAACAUUACAAGCCGUCAAAAUAAAAAUUCUUUAGAACCAUGAGAAAAUAUUUCCAAUUUAGUCUCAAUUUUUUUUUAAUAUUCUAAUUUAGUGCUCCACUGGGAUUCUGGAAGUUAAUUAGCAUAGAAUUGGUGACAGAACUUAAAAUUAUUUAACUUACAUCUAGGUAAGUGAAGAAUCUUGUCCUCGAUAGUAUAGUGGUCAGUGUCCCCGCCUGUCACGCGGGAGAUCGGGGUUCAAUUCCCCGUCGGGAAGCCAUAUUACAAUCAAAUAUUUAACAUACAUACAAAUAUAAACAGUUUACAAUACAUUCAACAAAUUAAAAUGAUCGUCGUUACUGUUCUGUUACUGUUACUGUUCUGGGUACUGUUUUUAUGUUGAUAUUAUUCCCACCGUGAAAAAGUAACCCUUUUGACGUAAACUACAUCUAAGGGGAUGAAUACUCGAAAACGGAAAUUUCAAAAUCGGGGACCGUCACGAAAUUAUGUAAGAUUUGGAACGUUACCACAGAGAACAGACAUGGAUGCUCGAACAAAAUUUCGUUAAAAAGGUGUGUAAAGAUUUAAAUCGCACCUCACCGCCACCAACACAGGCUGCCUGACAUAAAAACUCAACCUCACUAAGCGAUGGCGUUAGCAUACACUACAUAAACAAUGUAGUGCUGCCAUCUAGGGGAGAGCCUAGGAGCAAUUCGGAAUGAACACUAGCGCUAAAAAGCAAAACACGACAAUUUUUAACCAUAUCCAUCAUCACACUAGCACCGCGCAACGGAGGCAUAACGACAUACUUAAAAAUGACCAGUACAAACUUUUACACAACCACGCGAAUGAAGAUGAACGUCUGUUCUCUGUGACGUUACUAUGAAGUAUGACUCUUUAUAGUACGUUCAGAUUAUGAGCUAUAUCACUUGAUAUAGAGCAUCUUGACAUCAGUGUUUGUACAUCUAGUUUUCACUGGAAAUAAUGCAUAUGGCAUCUCAUGGCAAGAUUCGCUAUAUCAAGUGAUAUAGUUCAUAAUCUGAACGUGCUAUUACGAAUGUUAAGAAAAAUGAAUUGAUGAAAUUAGCCUAAAUGUCUGCAGUUAACUGUGUAUAACAAGUUUUUAACAGUGCCUAACGAAAUUCAAUUUUUCAUUAGUUGAGCGCCUAUAUUCAAUUGUUUUUAAUAGUUGUGCAAAAUCUUAUUGAGUUUGUCGAUCGAUUGAUACAAAAAUCAUCAAAAUCGGUUAGAAGAUGGCCCAUAGAAGAAGUUAUUAGCCCAUACUUCCUGACCACAUUUCGUGACGGUCUCAAAUUUGAUUCUGCAGAAUGACCCCCCUAUGUUUUCCCGAAGGACGUAUUCUACGUAAACAAAAAAUCAUCAAGUUUUGUUUCAGUAUUUUUAGUGAGGAGAUCUUUCGGCCCUAGGCUGGCUUGUCUCCGAAUAAUUUCAUCGAGUUUUAAAAAUGUCAAUUAUUUAUAAAAUUUGGGUCAAAUACACCACGAGCAGCACCGUAAAACAGCGUCAAAAGGCUCGUCAAAUGGAUCUCGUGAAAUUUCGUAACAUGUGCUUUUUGAUUGCAUCCUUACUAAUUUUCCACUCGAAAUAUAAUGUGAAAACAAAACAAAACUCAAACUAAGUUUAUUUUUUUCCCAAAUAAUUACAAUGCUUCUUAAUAUAUUAUGCAUCUCGAGAAAAUAUAGAAUAUUGCGGCUUCCGGCUGGUUACUUCACAGGUAAUCGCAACAGUCACUAAACACGACAGGGUCAACGACAAUCUUACAUAUCGUAUGCACUUGUCAUGAUAAACACUCUCCAUGUACUCAGUGACUCCGGUUUCCUCUCAGUAAUACAAUCGAACAUUGCUGUCAUUUGACGAAAAGCACGUUGUUUUGCUUUAAGCGGAAAAAAUCUCCCUAUCUUUCCCUAUCUAUCCCUAUCUUAAGGUCUGAGGGAAGCUCUCUCGCGGUAGAGCGCUAUUUUCAUACUAAAAUGUCUAUAACUCGGAAUUGGGAACAAAUUUCGCUUAUCCCAACUGACAAUCUCUUUGGAAUUUAUCAUGUUCCUAGAGAAUUUUGUGGAUGAUGCUAAAUGCCCAAAACGUGUCUCACAUUUUUGAACACAUACAGACAUCACCUCAAUUCGUCGAGCUGAGUCGAUUGGUAUAGGGGGACAAGGGGCAAUAUGGACACCCUAAGGUGUUAAUCAAUAUUAGGCGAUUUGAAUUGAAUAUAAUUCGUAUGUCUAGCAAUUACAUGAUACUAUUACUCGGUAACUACCAGUUCUGUUUUGAAUCGUAUUGAAAAUAAGGCAAUUUCAAUCAAAUAGGACGAUUUUGUAAUAGUUAAUUUUUCACUACUCUCGGGAAGGUAGCGGGGUAGAUUGGACACCCCCAUGGGGCAGUAUGGACUAGAGGCCUGAAUAAGAGAAACGCGGAUAGAAAAUAUGACUCUGCCAACACUGCAUUCAAUCUUCUUCAUCAAAGAACAACACAUGAAAAGGAAGAAAUGGUUUAUGUAGACAAAAUCUCACAAUCCGCUAUUUUAUGUGUCCACACCACCUAACAAUAGAAUCCAAUAAACAAUGGAAUUUUAUUUCAUAAUCUAUAAAUGACUUGCAUAUAUUAUUGCAAACUAAUGUAAAAUACAUUCAAUUUUGUUUAUUUAAAAAUUGCAUAAAAUCGAAUUUGGCCGUUUUCAGUAUUUGAGCCAAUAUUUUGGCUGCUUGACAGGUCUCCUGCUCGAUUGGCUGCUGUUUUUGACGGUUCGAUUGGCGGCACAUACCUAUCCGCGUUUCUCUUAUUCAGGCCUCUAGUAUGGACACCCUUAUAAAAUAUGAAGAAAAUUAUCUUACUUGUGAUUAUAUGCCAUUGUAACCUAUUUUAUGGAUCAUCCUACAUAAAUAUUACCCAAUUGUUUAUCUUCCUGUCAUGAUUUUGUAUGAGACACCUAAAAUUGUGUUUGGAUCAUCAACAUCCGCCCUCACGAGAGGAGCCGGCCAAGGGCCGAAAAUCUCGUUAAUAAAGAUAUAAAAAAAAAAAAAAUCAACAUCCGAAAAUCUAUUUCCCUCUUCUUAAGCGAGGUCAUAUAUGGUCGUUUUCUAUAUUAAUUCCAUGGUGAAUAGAAGAAGAUUGAUUACGUAACGCAAAAAUAUGCCACUUUCAGCCGGCCUCAUACAUGUAUGUCGGACUUUUUGUAUGAAGCAUAUGAUUGUUUUUAUAUGGAUCCUCACACUUAUGGCAAGACCCCUUCUCAAUCGUCUCUACUCUGAGCAUUGCAUAAUCUAUGCACACUCUUAUUCACUCUACUGGCAUCGCCAAUCCUUCCAAUGGGUUGUACCGAUCAACUUGCCAACGAGAUUGCCAAAUCUAUACAAAACACUUCCUUUUUUUUGUUGCACUUUCAGCGACUUUUAUGGUAUAUAUAUGCUUCUAUGGUAUAUAUGUCAUGUACUGGAACUUUUAUAUCGAUUUAUAAUUCCACACCAUGAUAACACGGAAAUAACACGAUAUGAAAGCCAAGUUCAAUGAGUUUGAGGUAAUGUUUUAAUUUUUAAGGUGUCAGUUCUACCAUAUAGGGGAAAGUGGUGCAAGAUGGCCAUACUAAGCGGUAACCCUUGUAAAAUAGUGACACUGCUUCAAAUUCUGCUGAUUUCUCCAUGAAACACCUUUAUGAUGACCCGUCUUUGACAUAAGUAUCAAUAAACACUGAUUAAUAAAGUUUCAGUAUCUUAUAAACUGGUUUUAAAAAGGCUGUUUUUAUGAUGCCUAUAUUUACCAUAUGGGGCAAUAUGAUCACCCCCUCGGGGCAAGACGAGCCUGGACCAAAAACUAUAUCAAAAGUGUGCUAAAUUUAUUUAGAAUAGGGGACACAUUUCUUGCACUUCUAUGGAUUAUGUUCAAAUGAUGCUUCGUUUAAAAAUGUCGUAUUUUAUGUUGAUUUCUUGACAACUGGCACUACGACAAUAUCAGAAUUUGCCUAAAAUUAAUUUCUUCUGUUAAACCCAUAUCCUUUGUUUUAAAUCAUCUCUGAUUCAAGCAGAAACUAUUUUGAUCAUUUUUUAAAUGCAUUUAAGUGUUAGGCGACUCUUAAUCCUGGAGAUGACCUUGUUCCUAUACAGUUGGCAAUACCGCCCCAAGCCGACGUGUAUACAAAGAUUUAUAUCCUAUCGAACCUAAUUACUGUGAAUCUCCUCAAAUUAUUAUUGUAUAUAUGCUAUAGUUAUAUAAAAGCUUCGGUAAAUAUCAAUUUGUCCUGAAAAAUGAGUAAUUUAGGCUUCAAUUGUUAAAUUAUGUAACUAGAAAAUUAUAAGAAAAUUCGAAUUUCAACUAAACCAUCUUCAAAUCAAUAUUACAAGAACAAGUGAGGUUGUCAAAGUGCAUUUUUCAGUUGUAUAGCCCUUUUACAUUAUUGUGAACCAUCCCUUGUAAUAAUAAUGUAAAUAUAAUGCUCACUUGAGGCAUAAUUAACGUUGGCUGUCUUGCCCCAUAUGGCCAUCUUACCCCACUUUCCCCUAGAGUGUUCAGUUUGCCCCAACAGGUGAACAAAUUUAAAAACUGUUAGAAAUUUUGUAAAAAUCAAGGAAACUUGUCACAAAUGCAUGCCAGAGCACUAUAAAUAACAGAAUUUUGCUAUGGGAUGACCAAUAAUUGAGAAAUCAUCUUCUAUGGUAAAGUAAAGCUUAUUUUAUGGGAGGUGAAACUUAUAACUUUUAACCAUUUGGAAGACAUUUUAACUUUUUUGUCAAAUUUAUGCGCUUAGAAAAUAAAGCAAUGGCUUCUACGCUUUAAAUUAGUUGUUUAUGAAAGGAUUAUAGAGUUCGCUGCACUGAAAGUAGAAAAAUGAUUGAAUUAACAAGAAUAUUGGGGGUGUCCAAUCUACCCCGGGUGUUCAUAAUGCCCCCUGGUCCCAUGUAUAACACUAUGGGUCUCCGAGCCUUCUAUAAAAAGUUCGGUUUUGCAGCAGUUCUAUAAUCUUUCCGUAUACUUGGCAUACGAGAAAGGCAAAACUGAACCUUUCGCGAAUUGGUUGACGGGACAAGUUUAAAUCAAAAAGAGAUGCAACUCUGUUGAAUAGUCUUAGAAGACCGCCGAUAGCACCGAACAUACCGCAGUUCGUUCGAUGCAUAGGCGUCCUGAACAUCGAACUAUUCCUAAGGGAUCGGGGUUGCACGUGGUAGUUAAUUUGUUCCAGAAGAGAAGGGUAGUCGAGUCGUCCUUGUAGUAGAUCUGCUAUCAGUAAUGCCCUCGUUGUGCUUCGGCGGACGAAAAGAGGUUCCAGAUCAAUCAAACGGCAACGGCUUUCAUAGAUUGGAAGACGGAAGGGGUUUUGCCACGAUAAUCUGCGCAAUGCGAAUCUCAGAAAACGACGCUGGACGGAUUUAAUUCCUUCGGCGCCGUUAUUAUAGUGUGGAGAUCAGACGACCGAGCAGUACUCCGGAACGGAACGAGUCAGGCAACAGUACAACGACUUUAGACAGUAAAUAUCCGUGAAUUCUUUGGCAAUCGUGAAGAUGAAACCUAAAACCUUUGAUGCUUCGCUGACAACAUAGGAAACAUGCGGCUUAAAGCGAGAGAUUACCGAACAUUUAGAUGGGUUAACAUCCAUUCGGUUAAGCACGCAUCAACUUGCAAAAGGCAUCCAGUUGGCGUUACAGAGAGUGACAGUCUUCAAUGGAACAAAUUCGGAGUUACAGUUUGAGGUCGUCUAUAGCAAAGCCUUGAUUGUCAGAAUGGCGUCGUUGAAAUAGAUCAGAAAUUUCAGUGGUUCCAGGUGACUACGCUGAGGAAUGCCUGAGGUAGCGGCAAAAUGGUUCUACUGACUUUACUAACCAAGGUAAGGCUGCGACCGGUUAAAUACGACUGGAACCAUCACAAGAGAGAACCAUUGAUUCCGAGGCGAUCCAGUUUAGCGAUAGCUAUGCGGUGAUUCAAUUUAUCAAAGGCUGCUGUUAGGUCGGUAUAGAUAACGUCCGUUUGACUGAGAUCCACCAUGUUGCUGUUGAUGUAGGAUGUAAGGCACAAAAGAUUUGUGGCAGUGGAACGUCCGGACAUAAAUCCAUGUUGGUCGUCACUAAUGUUUACAAUGGGCGAGUGGAGGUUCCAUUUCCAUCACUAGCUCGAACAACUUGGCAACAGCAGACAAUGAGGUGAUACCACGGUAAUUUGCAACGUCCCGUCUGUUACCUUUCUUAUGAACAGGGAACAUGUGCGCUAUCUUCCAACAAGACGGAAAAAUUCCUGACGUAAUCGAAAGUUGGAAAACAUGGAGUAACGGAGUAAUAAUGCCAUCGAUAUUCGUUUUCAGAAAUACGGAAAGAAUUCCAUCUGCUCCGGGGUUGUAGGAUGUUUUCAGUUUCAAUGCAGCUUCGCGAACUAUUCCAACAUUGAUAUCAACCAUGCUUAUAGCUUGGCCCGAGAUAGGAACGGAGCUCAUAGCAUAUCGUAUUUGGUCUUCUGAUAAUCUUUCAUUCCUAAAAACACUGACACGAAUUUUUCUGCAAACAGUCUACUGAUGUCCUGAGAAUUAGACGCCAAAAUUCCGUUAAGCGUCAUUCGCGAAGGAUUCAUUUCGUUGCUCUUUUACGUACUUCCAGAACUUUUUAGGAUGUGUUUUCAGCUUCCUUUGCAGUCCACGCUGUCUUCUUCUUCUUAUAUAAAUAAAAACAAAUAUAUAAAACCCAAUUUAAUUCACCGAGUAGUGAUACUGCCUUUCUCCCAUUUAGCCAAGACACCAACCUUAUAUGGAACUAAUAUAGUGCGAUGUACCAUUUUCUUAAUAACUUCUAAACGCAACGGUCGAUCGUUACCAAAUUCAAUAGUGAUCAACUAGAAUUUGCCCGAAUGCAACUUAUUGCGAGAAAAUCGGUUAAAGAUUACUACAACAAGUUGUACGCAGAAAAAUAUAGCUUCAUUGAAACUAAAAUUACAAUGAGUACAAUCAACAAACUGUUAAUGCAUAAAACUAAUAAAAAUAUUUUUUUACAUUUAUUCACCAAACUUGUUGAAUCAACAAAAUUUGAAAUCGGAAACAAAAUUUGCUAUCCGUCGCUAUUCCUAUUUUCGAAUAAGGUUGAUUCAAGUUAUCAAUUUUGUAGAAACAAUAAUUUACAUUGUCAACUUAAGGAUAUUUCACUUUUAAAUCUGCCUGUUUGAACAAAAAAAGGCCUCCGCCAUGUUUGAACAAAAGAAUCAUAUAUUAAUAUGAGACGUUAGGAAAAAAUAUGUUUUACUAUUAUUUAUAAUAAAUAUUGACAAAUAGAAAUAAUGAUGAAACACAAGUGUGUAAGUUUCCAAGGUAAGUUAAUAAAUUAUUGUGCUUUCAACUUUGUACCUUUUCAGAAUUUUCAUAAUUUUAUUCUCAUAUUUCUUUCAGAUUCGUGCUUAGGUGAAACUCAUAAACAUAAAUGGAUGAAGAUGAAAAAUAUUUUUCUCGCAUUCCUGUUCGCUUAAAGAACGAAGGAUGGAGGCAAAAAUACUACAACAGAAGUAUGACAUAUAAUGCAAUUCAGGACAAAAAUGCAGUAAAACAAUUUAUGUUUUUAUAAGAAAACAAUGACAACUGAAAUAUAAAAACCCAAAUUUAUCCCCCAGUGGUGAUUAUGCCUUUCUCGAUUCAAUGUGUUGAAUUCGAAUUAGUAUGGUAAAUGCAACGUAAAUUGCCUACAUUUAGGCGGUUAAUAGCUUUGAUGCGAUUAUAUCACGCUGCUUAAAAAUAACUCAACUAUGAGAGUAAUGGAUUGCGUCACGGCUAAAUUGAUUAAUGAUUUAAUAUGUGCAUGUACACAGCGUAUUUGAUAAAAGAAAAAUAGAAAUAUUAUUCAAACCGCAUGAGAUAUUAGCAAACAAAAACAAUAGUGUCCAACUAGGAAAGUUUCUCCGUCGAAUGAAACUAGUUGCACUCGAAUCGGUCAAGUCCUUCUAUAUGAAACGUGUUUAACAAUAAAAAAUUCCCGGGGCUACACACACACACACACACACACAGUCAGACAUGUGCUCAGUUUUUCGAGCUGAGUCGAUUGGUAUAUAACACUAUGGGUCUCCGAGCCUUCUAUCAAAAAUUGGCUUUUGGAGUGAAAUUAUAGCCUUCUGGUACAACUUUGUUGUACGAGAAAGGCAAAAAUCCAGGCUUAGAAAUGAAAAAUACAAUAUUUUUGAAACAACAAAUAGAAUUUUUGCGCCGACAAAAAACAAUAUUUGUUUCUACAAAAUUUUAUUUUUGUUUCUGGCAUGUAGCUAAGGUGAAUCAUUUUUAGAAACAACAAAAUUUAUUUUCGUAGUAACUGAUCAUAUUUUUUCAAAUCAAUAAGCAUUACUGGUAAGCCGUGAGUCAACUGCGUGUGCUAGUUUAACCACGUAGACCAACAAUUUUACUCAUAUUCUUAUUGCACCGAACAUUGUUUUCGCUAAUAAACAUCGUUUUACAUAGUUUUUCUUCGAAACAAAAAAACAUCGAAAUUUCGUAUGUACAAAAAUAGUGCCGGUAAAAUGAACACUUCCGGGUGGUAAAAUUAACAUCGAUUCUAAAACCCUUUUAUAACAUUUAAUUUACAUUUUUUCAACUCCAGCCCCGUAAAUAUAACCAAUUAAGAUUACUAGAGCGUUUUGAAAAAUCUGGUAUAUCUUUUGAAAAGCUCUUAAUUAUCAAAAUAAUAAAAAAAAGAAAAAAAAUUUUGGAAUAUCAUCUAUUUUGGAAUUAAAUUUAGAUAUUCAAAGUUUUAUCUUGAUUAUUUGAUAUGGUUUGUUUCUUGAACUUCCGCUUCACAAUCAUAAAUUUGUAUAAGUUUGAUACAAGUGUUCAUUUUACCUGCAUACAUGCCAUGUGAUAAAUAGCUCUUCCUAUAACGAUGCAAACCAAAAAUUUUACUAUUCACCCCUGCAACAUCUUUGUGAAGGUUGUCCUAUUUGCCGCCGUAGUUUGAACCAAUUUUAUGAUGAAUUUAUUAAGAAUUAAAGCUUACGGAAAAAUGGUUGAAAAUUACAUCAAAUUUUUACGGCUUCGUUUGAUAUUUUGGAUAUUAAUAGCUAUUCGCUCGGUCUCAAAACUAAAAUAUUAGCUCAGGUACCUUAUGUUAUUUAGAAGAAAACUUGUGCAUGGUUAACAUACGCCUAAUUAGUGUUUCAAUCUCAAUACAGCCAACUGUUCAUUUUACCACCCCUGUUCAUUUUACCUGCUUUUCCCCUAUAUGAAAAGUAGUCUAUGUGUUUCUUAGCUUUUGUGCACACAAAUACACACACAUACACACUAACAGAGAGACAUGUGCUCAGCUUGGUAGGUUUUCAACUUAAUUGAGUAUAUAAGUAUUCGGAGUGAAAUGAUACAACUUUGUUAUACGAGAAAGGCAAAAAUAAGUUAGCAUUUCCCUAGAGGCAAUAUAACUCACGAAUGGAACCACCAAUUUGCAAAUUUUCCUCACCAAUCGAUUCGUCAAAGGCUCUUCUUGUAGGGAAAAACAAUGGAGGUAAUAAACUAUAUAAACUUCGACAUCAAAUGUGUUGGUUAUUCUAUUAAAGUGAAAUACACUUGGAUUUGGCCCUACUGGUCAGUAACAAUGACUUCGAAGUGUAAAACACUUUCUUUUCGAUCGUUUUGUUUUUGACAGCGAAGUGUAUUUUGAAACCGUCUGUCAAAGCAAUAGAGGUAAUAAACUAUAUUAGGAUAGUGCACUUGUGGUUACAGUAUUCCGUGUAUAGUAGAAAAUCGAAAAUUUGUUUUCAAUAAAAUGAAAUAUCUGCAGUUAUCAGACGUCGCAACUCAUUUCUGAUUAGUGCGCAUGAUAGUACAUCCAUGCGUGCAUGAUGCGCACCAAUAAUGAAAUAUUUCAAAUUGUCGCGACUCGCGAGUGCUCAAUCGCGCGGUCCGGUUUGGUGCCGGCCCGACAAUAGUGGUUUCAGAGCAUAAAGAACGCACCACGUUCUCAGAAGCAAAACGGAGUCUUUCAAUCAGAAAGUACAAAAGAUAUUUUAGUUACUAGAUAAUGAUUGUCGCUAGAGAUGUCGCAAAUUAAUCGAUUACUUCGAUUAAUCGAUUCAUCGUUGUGAUAAUCGAUUAAUUUUGAAUCGAUUAUUACCCAACGAUUAAUCGAUUCAAUAAUCGAGAUGAAUCGUGAGUAAUCGAUUAGUUACUAAUCGAUUAAUCAGAAUUUUACGACAUCAUAAGGAUGUCGAAAAUUGAUUGAUUAUUUCGAUUAAUCGAUUCAUCGUUGUGAUAAUCGAUUAAUUUUGAAUCGAUUACUAUACAAUGAUUAAUCGAUUCAAUAAUCGACAAGAAUCAAGAGUAAUCGAUUAGUAACUAAUCGAUUAAUCGGGAUUUUACGACAUCUCUAAGUCGCUGUCGUUGCUGUCUGGAACAUCUUUUGCUGGCAAUUAGGGUCUCGCCGACAUUUCUCACCAACACGAACGCAGGUUCGUGGUUGCAAACAAUCCCAUUUGAUUUUGCCGUGGCAGCUGCUCGUGGUUGCAAACAAACCGAGUAAAAGUGUGAGUGAAGCGUGCGUGUACGUACACGAUCGCUGAAAGCCUAAUGAUAGGGGAGCUAAAUGUCAAAGAAGGAAAAUCUAUACGAUUUGACAGGUAUGUACCACACAUGUUUCGGACAGCAGAACAAAGGGAACCGAAGCGACAAUCUUUAUCUAGUAACUAAAAUAUCUUUUGGAAGUACGUAGAUUUGAUAAAAAAUAAUCCAUAAAAACAAAUAAUGCUAUCUUUUUUUAGUAGGAAACGAAUAUAAAUGUAAAAUAAGGUAGAAAGAACCAUAUGAUCCUGCAGCAAAAAAAAACAUAUAGCUUGGAUUUAAGGUGAAUGCAAUUCAUUCAAAUAUGCAAUUACAUACUUUUUCUAUCAACCUAUCCUGGCAGAAUUAUAGACAAUACUAGCAGGCUAUCGUUUUCAUAUGAAAACAGCGCACCACUUCCGAAGUUAGGUUUAACGUACGGAUUGUGAGAAAAAUCCAACUUCGCUAUCCCCCAAUUCCGGUUUCCAACUGGAUUGAGAAUAUUUAUAUCAUCUAAUCUAAGUUAUCUAAUUUAUAAAUUCGCA